AGCAAAGAAGUAAAAUUACAAUUAAUUUCGACUUAAUUUAAAGGAGUAUCCUCAUGCUU
rnacentral:tRNA from 1 species